AACGAACGCUGGCGGCAUGCCUAACACAUGCAAGUCGAACGAGACCUUCGGGUCUAGUGGCGCACGGGUGCGUAACGCGUGGGAACCUGCCCUUAGGUUCGGAAUAACUCCCCGAAAGGGGUGCUAAUACCGGAUAAUGUCUUCGGACCAAAGAUUUAUCGCCUUUGGAUGGGCCCGCGUUGGAUAGCUAGUUGGUAGGGUAAAAGCCUACCAAGGCGACGAUCCAUAGCUGGUCUGAGAGGAUGAUCAGCCACACUGGGACUGAGACACGGCCCAGACUCCUACGGGAGGCAGCAGUGGGGAAUAUUGGACAAUGGGCGAAAGCCUGAUCCAGCAAUGCCGCGUGAGUGAUGAAGGCCUUAGGGUUGUAAAGCUCUUUUACCCGGGAUGAUAAUGACAGUACCGGGAGAAUAAGCGCCGGCUAACUCCGUG
rnacentral:rRNA from 1 species